rnacentral:rRNA from 1 species
GACGAACGCUGGCGGCGUGCUUAACACAUGCAAGUCGAACGGAAAGGCCCUGCUUUUGUGGGGUGCUCGAGUGGCGAACGGGUGAGUAACACGUGAGUAACCUGCCCUUGACUGUGGGAUAACUUCAGGAAACUGGGGCUAAUACCGGAUAGGAGCUCCUGCUGCAUGGUGGGGGUUGGAAAGUUUCGGCGGUUGGGGAUGGACUCGCGGCUUAUCAGCUUGUUGGUGGGGUAGUGGCUUACCAAGGCGUUGACGGGUAGCCGGCCUGAGAGGGUGACCGGCCACAUUGGGACUGAGAUACGGCCCAGACUCCUACGGGAGGCAGCAGUGGGGAAUAUUGCACAAUGGGCGGAAGCCUGAUGCAGCAACGCCGCGUGCGGGAUGACGGCCUUCGGGUUGUAAACCGCUUUCGCCUGUGACGAAGCGUGAGUGACGGUAAUGGGUAAAGAAGCACCGGCUAACUACGUG